AACGAACGCUGGCGGCAUGCCUAACACAUGCAAGUCGAACGAGACCUUCGGGUCUAGUGGCGCACGGGUGCGUAACGCGUGGGAACCUGCCCUUAGGUUCGGAAUAACUCCCCGAAAGGGGUGCUAAUACCGGAUAAUGUCUUCGGACCAAAGAUUUAUCGCCUUUGGAUGGGCCCGCGUUGGAUUAGCUAGUUGGUAGGGUAAAAGCCUACCAAGGCGACGAUCCAUAGCUGGUCUGAGAGGAUGAUCAGCCACACUGGGACUGAGACACGGCCCAGACUCCUACGGGAGGGAGGAGUGGGGGAUAUUGGACAAUGGGGGAAAGGCUGAUCCAGCAAUGCCGCGUGAGUGAUGAAGGCCUUAGGGUUGUAAAGCUCUUUUACCCGGGAUGAUAAUGACAGUACCGGGAGAAUAAGCACCGGCUAACUCCGUG
rnacentral:rRNA from 1 species